GAUGAAGAACGUAGCGAAAUGCGAUAAGUAAUGCGAAUUGCAGAAUUCCAGUGAGUCAUCGAAUCUUUGAACGCACAUUGCGCCCUUUGGUAUUCCGAAGGGCAUGCCUGUUCGAGCGUCAUUAUCACCCCUCAAGCCCUCGGCUUGGUGUUGGACGGUUUGGUGGAGCCCCCUCGGGGGCUCCUGCCCCUCCCAAAGACAAUGACGGCGGCCUCGUUGGACCCCCGGUACACUGAGUUCUUCACGGGACACGUAUCGGACACAUGGGUUUACGGGACACGGUCUGCCUCCCCUCAGGGAGAAUCUUUCUAAGGUUGACCUCGGAUCAGGUAGGGAUACCCGCUGAACUUAAGCAUAUCAAUAAGCGGAGGA
rnacentral:misc_RNA from 1 species